UGAGUGAAGUGAGGACCGAGUUCAGCUCCAGAAGCUGUAAGAGGAAUUACUCUGAAUCUGCAGACAGAACCAUCAACUGCACCAGGAUGACUGAGCGCUGUAACCUCCUGAUGGAGGCGCCCUUCACCACCUGCCACAACCACACCCACCCAGAGCCCUUCAUCACKGCCUGCACCAACACUCUGUGCAAAUAUCCUGUGGUGGACGGUUUKAGCCAGUGCCAGUUCCUGGACGCUUAUGUCAGAGCCUGCAACUUCCAGACCAAUGACACACUGGAGGGCUGGAGGUCAAAGGCCG